UAAGGGUUCCUGGGUCAAGCUGAUCUGCCCAGGGUAAGUCGGGACCUAAGGCGAGGCCGACAGGCGUAGUCGAUGGACAACCGGUUGAUAUUCCGGUACCCGCUUUGAAACGCCCAAUAUCGAAUCCAWUGAUGCUAAGGCCGUGAAGCCGUUCCGGACCCUUCGGGUAAAGGAAAGUGGUGGAGCCGCCGAUCCAAAGUGGUAGUAGGUAAGCGAUGGGGUGACGCAGGAAGGUAGUCCAGCCCGGGCGGUGGUAGUCCCGGGGUAAGGGUGUAGGCCGUGUGAUAGGCAAAUCCGUCACACAUUAAGGCUGAGACCUGAUGCCGAGCCGAUUGUGGUGAAGUGGAUGAUCCUAUGCUGUCGAGAAAAGCCUCUAGCGAGUUUCAUGGCGGCCCGUACCCUAAACCGACUCAGGUGGUCAGGUAGAGAAUACCGAGGCGUUCGGGUGAACUAUGGUUAAGGAACUCGGCAAAAUGCCCCCGUAACUUCGGGAGAAGGGGGGCCAUGUCUGGUGAGGGAACUUGCUUCCUGAGCUGGGUGUGGCCGCAGAGACCAGCGAGAAGCGACUGUUUACUAAAAACACAGGUCCGUGCGAAGCCGUAAGGCGAUGUAUACGGACUGACGCCUGCCCGGUGCUGGAACGUUAAGGGGACCGGUUAGC
rnacentral:rRNA from 1 species